UUUCUUACCUGGCAGUUGGAAUACCAUGAUCAAGAAGGUAGUUUCUCCAGGUUAAGGCUCUUCCAUUGGGCUUUUCGAUUGGGUAGACUUCUGUGAUUUCCCCAAAUAUGGGAAUCUCAACUGCAUACUUUAUGAUAGUGUGGGGCUGCAUUCAUGCAGUUCCCUU